rnacentral:rRNA from 1 species
UACGUAGGGUGCGAGCGUUGUCCGGAAUUAUUGGGCGUAAAGAGCUUGUAGGCGGUUUGUCGCGUCUGCUGUGAAAAUCCGGGGCUCAACCCCGGACUUGCAGUGGGUACGGGCAGACUAGAGUGCGGUAGGGGAGACUGGAAUUCCUGGUGUAGCGGUGAAAUGCGCAGAUAUCAGGAGGAACACCGAUGGCGAAGGCAGGUCUCUGGGCAUUAACUGACGCUGAGGAGCGAAAGCAUGGGGAGCGAACAGG